rnacentral:lncRNA from 1 species
GGACUGUGGAUCAGAUGCACAGUAAUUGCAUCACUGGGGAAGAGCAGAUGGGUGAGAGAGAAGGGCAGAACAUAGGAGCCUCUGCUCUUUCUGACAUCUCCAUUCCUCAGGCCCAGGAAAAGGCAGUGGCUGGAGCACGCUGAGGCUAGAAGAGUUGCCCCACAAGCCUGGGAAGCAUUUUGGAGCAGAGCCCACAGCCACUCACAUGAAAAAAAGCCCAGUUUUGAAAUAACUCAUUCUUGAUCUCUUCAUUAUACCAAGCUGCUCACCUAACUCAUUCAUACGGACUCCAAAACCAGUAAGAGCUAACAAUUCUUUAACAUUUUUUUGGAGGGUUUUUUCAUUGUUUUAUA